rnacentral:rRNA from 1 species
AUACGUAGGGUGCAAGCGUUAAUCGGAAUUACUGGGCGUAAAGCGUGCGCAGGUGGUUUUGUAAGUCAGAUGUGAAAUCCCCGGGCUUAACCUGGGAACUGCGUUUGAAACUGCAAGGCUAGAGUGUGGCAGAGGGGGGUGGAAUUCCGCGUGUAGCAGUGAAAUGCGUAGAUAUGUGGAGGAACACCGAUGGCGAAGGCAGCCCCCUGGGUCAGCACUGACGCUCAGGCACGAAAGCAUGGGGAGCAAACAGGAUUAGAAACCCGGGUAGUCC